UCCACCCUGCGUGACUGGCGAGUUCAGUGGGUUCACCACGAGGAAACGCGGGGUAUAUCUGGCGCAAUGCACAGUGCGCCUGCCGAUCGCCUGGGCAGCGAAU
rnacentral:ncRNA from 2 species